AGGACUGCAGCGCCACCCUGCAAAUCUGGCUCCAAUCGGAGGCAGGGCCAGUUCCUGUUUUGCCCUAGUGCUGUUUGGAUGGGACUUCUACUUAGUUUUUCCCCAUGGUUUUCUUGGGAAUAUAUCGACAGUCCCAGGGAAGUGUCAUGAAGUCUGUAUCUGGUGCUUCUUUGUUUCUCCGUGGUUCUACCCUGCACCCUACUCUCCCCUCUCUCUCCUCUCUCUCUCUCUCUCUCCAAAUGAACAGACUUAAAAUGAAACCAAGUGCUUCCUGAUCCAUGCUGACAAAACCCUCUCCAUGAGGAGGGGACUAGUGGCUCCUCAGGGACGGAUUCCUAGAGAAGCAGGUGGUGUCAAGAGGUCCCCCUGGGUCCCGGGUAGCGAGUCACUUCAUCAGCCUGCGCAUUAAGGGGCAACGCCACACAAGGGGCAACACAUCUGGAGCCUGUGCCUGGAGGUUUCCUCCUAUCGACAAGAUGGAAGGGAUGCCGGAGGAAAAGUUUCUCUGGUUCCUAAGCAUCAGCAAAUUCAAGCGAGUGUCCAAAGAUGGCCAAGUUGCAGAAUCAAUAUAUAUUUUAGUCAAAGAAAGUGGCUCAUUGGUCUACUGGCUGCAAGCAAGCUGUGCCCAAGGUGCUGAAAGAGCUGCCCCAAACUUAAGCCCCUGAGAGCUCACAGUCCAGAAAGAGAGAAAGGGCGACCAGGGCACCCAAUGGAUGGUCUGGGGUUCUAUCCAGCCAGGAGUUUGGGCAUAACUCCCGUGCAGUGUUUAAAGAUGGGAGCAAUGACACGGACACGAAUCGCAUUUGUUGCACAUGUCAAAGAACGUGUUGGAUCCUGUUGCUUUGGUCAGCUCUUCACUGCUGUGGCCAAAACACCUGACAAGAACAACUUACGGGAGGAAAAGUUUACUCUGGGCUCACGGCUUCAGAGGUAAAGUCCAUGGUCAGCUGACUCCAUUUUUUCUGGAGAGAAGGUGGGACGGAACAUCAUGGUGGAAAGGCAUGGUGGAGGACAUCUGCUCACCUUGUGGCAGCCCGGAAACACACAGAGAAGAGCUAGGGGUACAAGAUAUAAUCCCCAAGGGCACGACCUCAGAGACUUACUUCCUCCAGCCGCGUCCCACCUGCCUAGAGUUACCACCCAACUCAGUAAUUGUUCAAAUUACUAAUUCAUCAAAAUGGAUUGAUCCACUGAUAAGCUGAAUCACUCUCAUAAUCUAAUCAUUUUGCCUCUGGAACAUUCCUCAGGGACACAGGAACUUUUCAUGGGGGGGGCGGGUGACACCUCAUCUAAACCACAUAACUGUUUCCUCACCAUUUGGGGGAGGAAAAAGGCUAUGUGAAGGGAUGAGUGCCUGUUCUGCUCCUAGACUUGGCUUUAGGAGACACAGCUCUCAGCUCUGUCUGGUGGUGAGUCCACUGUUUCAAGAAGGCAACGAAGAAACUUCCUUCAGGGACUAGGUGUGUUCAUAUCUGCAAUGGAGGACUUAUCACCGUCUAUAGGGGACAGACUGACCGUGGGGUCUUCGGGGACUGUACUCAGGUCUGACUCUCCUGAAGGGGCUAAGAGCCUAGAGAAGGCCUGAAGCUGCCUUGGGUUCCCUGACAUAAAUGGAAAUGCAUGCAGCCGAGGCACUUGGCGCCUUAGUGA